AAAACCCGAAUAUUUAUAUUCGUUAAAAUGCUGUGAUAUGGUACCUCAAGAAAUAAACAACUAGGCUAAUUAACCUACUUAGAUGUAUGGUUAAAACUAUUAAAAGAUGGAAUGUAAUAAAAUGUUUAACAAAGCAAACAAGGGAACAAACUUGAGGGACCAAAGAUGAACAAGGGGGAAAGUUAUGUCUUAAGUAACAAACACACCCACACAAGCACACACACAUUUCGUGUGUUCUAGAACGAUCAGGGGGAACUCCCCAUGAACCAAACCCUAGUUCUAACACAAUCAUCAAAUUGAGGAGUCAAAUGAAGCUCAAAUUCACAACCAAACAUGAAUUAAGGAUCACCUACUCAAGGGGAUCAUGAGGAAUCAUGUCGAGACGGAAUCAAGCACGGAUGGAUAACGGGUCAAGAAGUGGCGAGGAAACGAAUAUGAACACGGAUGCAUGAGGAUGUACGGAAUCACGGAUCAUCAUCAUGAGGUGUAAGCGGUCGAAGAUCGAGUCACAAGAUAGAUUGUACGUGAAUGCUUGAUCAUGUAAUUUAGUAAACAUAAGUUAUGUUUUCAUUUCAUAAAUGAGGGCAAAGGAUAAAUUUAUUGUAAAAGAGUCAUUUUAAAAUGGACUUUCAAUCAUGUCAAGACGUCUGUAAAGAAAGAAAUUUUAUGGUACGUGUUUCCGCUGCGAC